AACGCACAUUGCGCCUCUUGGUAAUCCUUGAGGCAUACCUGUUCGAGCGCCGUUUGUGUCUUAAGGCAUUGCCUUGCGUUGAUGGAAUUUUUCUGAAACGAAAAACCAUCCAAACACAUGGGCGCCAAUCUCCUGGUCCAAAUCGCAGCGAAGAUGCGUUGAGGAUUGGAGAGAGGUAGCCAGUAUUUUUUUUAGAAAAAAUUAAAAAACAUGGCCUCGGAUCAGGUAGGGAUACCCGCUGAACUUAA
rnacentral:misc_RNA from 1 species